rnacentral:rRNA from 1 species
GACGAACGCUGACGGCGUGCUUAACACAUGCAAGUCGAACGGAAAGGCCCUGCUUUUGUGGGGUGCUCGAGUGGCGAACGGGUGAGUAACACGUGAGUAACCUGCCCUUGACUUUGGGAUAACUUCAGGAAACUGGGGCUAAUACCGGAUAGGAGCUCCUGCUGCAUGGUGGGGGUUGGAAAGUUUCGGCGGUUGGGGAUGGACUCGCGGCUUAUCAGCUUGUUGGUGGGGUAGUGGCUUACCAAGGCUUUGACGGGUAGCCGGCCUGAGAGGGUGACCGGCCACAUUGGGACUGAGAUACGGCCCAGACUCCUACGGGAGGCAGCAGUGGGGAAUAUUGCACAAUGGGCGGAAGCCUGAUGCAGCAACGCCGCGUGCGGGAUGACGGCCUUCGGGUUGUAAACCGCUUUCGCCUGUGACGAAGCGUGAGUGACGGUAAUGGGUAAAGAAGCACCGGCUAACUACGUG